AACAACUUGCCAUGCCAAAAAGAGGAAGAGGAAUGAUCUUGUAUUGGUUUAAGUCCUUUGCAUGAUUUAAGAAGCAAUCUAUCCUUAAUGCAAAGCCAUUCACUUGAUCAUUUGAUCCAGAUGAAUUAGAUUUGAAUCAAGGAAGAUUAAACCUCCCUAAUCAAUGCUAACUUAUCAACCUUUAACUCAUUGAUCAAAA
rnacentral:lncRNA from 1 species